UGCGUAGGUGGCGGGGUAAGUCUGGUGUGAAAGCUCCGAGCUCAACUCGGAAAAGCAUUGGAAACUAUCCCGCUGGAGGGUCGGAGGGGAGACUGGAAUUCUCGGUGUAGCAGUGAAAUGCGUAGAUAUCGAGAGGAACACCAGUGGCGAAGGCGAGUCUCUGGACGACUCCUGACACUGAGGCACGAAAGCUAGGGGAGCAAACA
rnacentral:rRNA from 1 species